rnacentral:lncRNA from 1 species
AGCCAGAUCACUUGUAUGCACAAAGCUGCUGUGGAUCUGUCUUUCAAACAAGAGCUGCAGAAAACGCUAUAGCAAGGUUGAAGCUUUAUCCACUCUAUUCUAACUGAACUGUGUGGCUCGGACUAGAGGCUGCUUUAUAUGAAGAUAUCUUCCUAUCAAGCCUCAUACCCACUCCAGGGAAGGACUCACCCAGAAAGCACAGCCCUGAUUCUGCGUGAGAAAGGCUAUCUCUACAGAAACUAAAACGUGAGUCCUGUUGAUUUGUGUUA